GGAGCAAUAACGAUGGUGCCCCUUCAGGAAUGGUGCCCCAGUGAAGAAAAAUGAAAAGCCCACUCUACUGUAGAAAAGUCAUAUCAUAAGAAUGAAUCAUCAUAUACAUAGUUAAAAGUAUGCAGAAUGAGUGCAGAGUAUUAUUUCCAACAUUUGCAUCAUUUUUAAGAAGUGGAAGCAACAGAUUUGGAACAUGUUUUCAACAAUAACUCAAAUACUCAGCAAACACUAUGCUUUCACUGAUGUGAAGAACUAUAUAAAGACUACAACAAUGAAUACA